UACGGGGGGAGCAAGCGUUGUUCGGAUUUACUGGGCGUAAAGGGCGCGUAGGCGGCCACCGCAAGUCGGUUGUGAAAUCUCCGGGCUUAACCCGGAAAGGUCACUCGAUACUGCGGGGCUAGAGUGCAGAAGGGGCAACUGGAAUUCUCGGUGUAGCGGUGAAAUGCGUAGAUAUCGAGAGGAACACCUGCGGCGAAGGCGGGUUGCUGGGCUGACACUGACGCUGAAGCGCGAAAGCUAGGGGAGCGAACGGG
rnacentral:rRNA from 1 species